rnacentral:rRNA from 1 species
AACGUAGGGCGCGAGCGUUGUCCGGAUUUAUUGGGCGUAAAGAGCUCGUAGGCGGCUUGUCGCGUCGGCUGUGAAAACCCGCGGCUCAACUGUGGGCGGGCAGCUGAUACGGGCAGGCUGGAGUUCGGUAGGGGAGAUCGGAAUUCCUGGUGUAGCGGUGAAAUGCGCAGAUAUCAGGAGGAACACCGGUGGCGAAGGCGGAUCUCUGGGCCUUACCUGACGCUGAGGCGCGAAAGCUAGGGGAGCGAACAGG